rnacentral:rRNA from 1 species
ACGGGCCGCAGCAGGCGCGAAAACUUUACAAUGCUGGGAACAGCGAUAAGGGAACCUCGAGUGCCAGGUUCCAAAUUUGGCUGUCGUGAUGUCUAAAUAGCAUAAUAUAGCAAGGGCCGGGCAAGACCGGUGCCAGCCGCCGCGGUAACACCGGCGGCUCGAGUGGUAACCGUUAUUAUUGGGUCUAAAGGGUCUGUAGCCGGCCGGAUAAGUCUUCCGGGAAAUCUGGCAGCUUAACUGUCAGGCUUUCAGGGGAUACUGUCUGGCUCGAGGCCGGGAGAGGUGAGAGGUACUUCAGGGGUAGGGGUGAAAUCUUGUAAUCCUUGAAGGACCACCAGUGGCGAAGGCGUCUCACCAGAACGGACCCGACGGCAAGGGACGAAAGCUGGGGGCACGAACCGGAUUAGAUACCCGGGUAGUCCCAGCCGUAAACGAUACUCGCUAGGUGUCGGCCACGGUGCGACCG